rnacentral:rRNA from 56 species
UUUUAUGGAGAGUUUGAUCCUGGCUCAGGAUGAACGCUGGCGGCGUGCCUAAUACAUGCAAGUCGAGCGAACGGACGAGAAGCUUGCUUCUCUGAUGUUAGCGGCGGACGGGUGAGUAACACGUGGAUAACCUACCUAUAAGACUGGGAUAACUUCGGGAAACCGGAGCUAAUACCGGAUAAUAUUUUGAACCGCAUGGUUCAAAAGUGAAAGACGGUCUUGCUGUCACUUAUAGAUGGAUCCGCGCUGCAUUAGCUAGUUGGUAAGGUAACGGCUUACCAAGGCAACGAUGCAUAGCCGACCUGAGAGGGUGAUCGGCCACACUGGAACUGAGACACGGUCCAGACUCCUACGGGAGGCAGCAGUAGGGAAUCUUCCGCAAUGGGCGAAAGCCUGACGGAGCAACGCCGCGUGAGUGAUGAAGGUCUUCGGAUCGUAAAACUCUGUUAUUAGGGAAGAACAUAUGUGUAAGUAACUGUGCACAUCUUGACGGUACCUAAUCAGAAAGCCACGGCUAACUACGUGCCAGCAGCCGCGGUAAUACGUAGGUGGCAAGCGUUAUCCGGAAUUAUUGGGCGUAAAGCGCGCGUAGGCGGUUUUUUAAGUCUGAUGUGAAAGCCCACGGCUCAACCGUGGAGGGUCAUUGGAAACUGGAAAACUUGAGUGCAGAAGAGGAAAGUGGAAUUCCAUGUGUAGCGGUGAAAUGCGCAGAGAUAUGGAGGAACACCAGUGGCGAAGGCGACUUUCUGGUCUGUAACUGACGCUGAUGUGCGAAAGCGUGGGGAUCAAACAGGAUUAGAUACCCUGGUAGUCCACGCCGUAAACGAUGAGUGCUAAGUGUUAGGGGGUUUCCGCCCCUUAGUGCUGCAGCUAACGCAUUAAGCACUCCGCCUGGGGAGUACGACCGCAAGGUUGAAACUCAAAGGAAUUGACGGGGACCCGCACAAGCGGUGGAGCAUGUGGUUUAAUUCGAAGCAACGCGAAGAACCUUACCAAAUCUUGACAUCCUUUGACAACUCUAGAGAUAGAGCCUUCCCCUUCGGGGGACAAAGUGACAGGUGGUGCAUGGUUGUCGUCAGCUCGUGUCGUGAGAUGUUGGGUUAAGUCCCGCAACGAGCGCAACCCUUAAGCUUAGUUGCCAUCAUUAAGUUGGGCACUCUAAGUUGACUGCCGGUGACAAACCGGAGGAAGGUGGGGAUGACGUCAAAUCAUCAUGCCCCUUAUGAUUUGGGCUACACACGUGCUACAAUGGACAAUACAAAGGGCAGCGAAACCGCGAGGUCAAGCAAAUCCCAUAAAGUUGUUCUCAGUUCGGAUUGUAGUCUGCAACUCGACUACAUGAAGCUGGAAUCGCUAGUAAUCGUAGAUCAGCAUGCUACGGUGAAUACGUUCCCGGGUCUUGUACACACCGCCCGUCACACCACGAGAGUUUGUAACACCCGAAGCCGGUGGAGUAACCUUUUAGGAGCUAGCCGUCGAAGGUGGGACAAAUGAUUGGGGUGAAGUCGUAACAAGGUAGCCGUAUCGGAAGGUGCGGCUGGAUCACCUCCUUUCU